UACGGAGGGAGCUAGCGUUAUUCGGAAUUACUGGGCGUAAAGCGCACGUAGGCGGCUUUGUAAGUUAGAGGUGAAAGCCUGGAGCUCAACUCCAGAACUGCCUUUAAGACUGCAUCGCUUGAAUCCAGGAGAGGUGAGUGGAAUUCCGAGUGUAGAGGUGAAAUGCGUAGAUAUUCGGAAGAACACCAGUGGCGAAGGCGACUAACUGGACAUGUAUUGACGCUGAGGUGCGAAAGCGUGGGGAGCAAACAGG
rnacentral:rRNA from 1 species